UAUUAUUUAUUUAUUAAUAGUUUUUUUUUAUUAUUUUUAAUAAAAAUAAUUUUAAUUUAGUUAGUUUUAGUAUUUUAUAAAGAAAUAAUAAUUUUAAUUAUAGUAUAUUAGUAUUUUAAAAGAAUAUUGAAAUAAAUUGAAAAAUUUUUAAUUUUAAAGAAAUUUUAUUUUAUUGUACCUUGUGUAUCAGGGUUUAUUAAUUAAAAAAUUAAUAUUUAUUUUUCUCGAAUUUUAAAGAUUUAGUUAUAUAAAAAAGUUAUUGUUGAAUAACUAUUUUUAAUAUAUAAUUAGAAAUGAAAUGUUAAUCGUUUUAAAAUAUAUCUAGUUUUUUAAGAAAUAAAUAUAAUUUAGUUUGUUUAUAUUAUUGGUUUAUUUUUUUAAUUCAAUAAAUGAAUAAAAUAAUAUUUUAAGGGAUUAGCUUUAAAAUAAAUUUUUAUAUUUUUAAUAUUUGUAAAAUAAAAAUAAGCUUAAAAAUAGCUAUUUUUAAUAAAUUUGUUAUAAUUUAUUUAUUUAUUUUUAUUAUUUAUUUUAAAAUUAAAUUAUUUAUUAAAAUAUAAUUUAUAAUUAUUUAAAUUUAUAAAUUAUGAUAAAAUUAGUAUAUUAAAUUAUUUAAAAUAAUUAAUUUGAAAGGUUUUAAUGAAGAAUUCGGCAAAUUAAAUAUAUUCACCUGUUUAACAAAAACAUGUCUUUUUGAGUUUUAUAUAAAGUCUAGCCUGCCCACUGAUGUUUAAAGGGCCGCGGUAUUUUGACCGUGCGAAGGUAGCAUAAUCAAUAGUCUUUUAAUUGAAGGCUCGUAUGAAUGGUUGAAUGAGAUAUAUACUGUUUUUUAAAAAUUUUGAUAAAACUUUAUUUUUUAAUUAAAAAGUUAAAAUAUAAUUAAAGGACGAGAAGACCCUAUAGAUCUNUAUUUUUAUAAAUUAUAAAUUAUAAAGAAUUUUAGGGUUUAUAUUUUAAAUAAAAUUUUGCUGGGGUGGUAUUAAAAUUUAAUAAACUUUUAUUAUUGUUUACAUUGAUUAGUGAGUUUUGGAUCCUAUAAUAUAGAUUUUAAAAUUAAGUUACCUUAGGGAUAACAGCGUAAUUUUUUUAGAGAGUUCAUAUCGAUAAAAAAGAUUGCGACCUCGAUGUUGGAUUAAGAGUUAUUUUUAGGUGUAGAAGUUUAAAGUUUAGGUCUGUUCGACCUUUAGAUUCUUACAUGAUCUGAGUUCAAACCGGCGUAAGCCAGGUUGGUUUCUAUCCUUAAUAAAUUAUUAUAUUGUAGUACGAAAGGACCUAAUAUAAAAAAUAUAUUUUUAAUUAGUUUGAAAAUUAUUAAUUUUAAUU
rnacentral:rRNA from 1 species